UACGUAGAGUGCGAGCGUUGUCCGGAAUUACUGGGCGUAAAGAGCUCGUAGGUGGUUUGUCGCGUUGUCCGUGAAAACUCACAACUCAAUUGUGGGCGUGCGGGCGAUACGGGCAGACUGGAGUACUGCAGGGGAGACUGGAAUUCCCGGUGUAGCGGUGGAAUGCGCAGAUAUCAGGAAGAACACCCGUGGCGAAGGCGGCUCUCUGGAACGCAACUGACGCUGAGACGCGAAAGCGUGGGGAGCAAACAGG
rnacentral:rRNA from 1 species